rnacentral:rRNA from 1 species
AAGAACGGCGCUUCAGGAAAUGGGUGGCGUUUGACGGUAGCGGGAGAGGAAGCCCCGGCAACUACGUGCCAGCAGCCGCGGUAAUACGUAGGGGGCGAGCGUUGUCCGGAUUUAUUGGGCGUAAAGGGCGUGUAGGCGGUCUGGUAAGUCGGGGGUGAAAACCCGGGGCUCAACCCCGGGAGUGCCUCUGAUACUGCUGGACUUGAGUGCUCUAGAGGGCAGUGGAAUUGCCGGUGUAGCAGUGAAAUGCGUAGAGAUCGGCAGGAACACCAGUGGCGAAGGCGACUGCCUGGGGAGUAACUGACGCUGAGGCGCGAAAGCUAGGGGAGCGAACAGGAUUAGAUACCCUGGUAGUCCUAGCCGUAAACGAUGAGUGCUAUGUGUGAGGGGUAUCGACCCCCCUCGUGCAGCAGUUAACGCAAUAAGCACUCCGCCUGGGGAGUACGGCCGCAAGGUUGAAACUCAAAGGAAUUGACGG